rnacentral:rRNA from 1 species
CCUACGUGGUGCAGCAGUGAGGAACAUUGGUCAAUGGGCGCGAGCCUGAACCAGCCAAGUAGCGUGAAGGAUGACUGCCCUACGGGUUGUAAACUUCUUUUAUAAAGGAAUAAAGUGAGGCACGUGUGCCUUUUUGUAUGUACUUUAUGAAUAAGGAUCGGCUAACUCCGUGCCAGCAGCCGCGGUAAUACGGAGGAUCCGAGCGUUAUCCGGAUUUAUUGGGUUUAAAGGGAGCGUAGAUGGGUUGUUAAGUCAGUUGUGAAAGUUUGCGGCUCAACCGUAAAAUUGCAAUUGAUACUGGCAGUCUUGAGUACAGUUGAGGUAGGCGGAAUUCGUGGUGUAGCGGUGAAAUGCUUAGAUAUCACGAAGAACUCCGAUUGCGAAGGCAGCUUACUAAACUGCCACUGACAUUGAUGCUCGAAAGUGUGGGUAUCAAACAGGAUUAGAUACCCUUGUAGUC